ACGGCUCAGUAACACGUAGUCAACAUGCCCAGGGGACGUGGAUAACCUCGGGAAACUGAGGAUAAACCACGAUAGGCCAUAAUUCCUGGAAUGGCUUAUGGCUGAAAUCUAUAUGGCCCCUGGAUUGGACUGCGGCCGAUCAGGCUGUUGGUGAGGUAAUGGCCCACCAAACCUAUAACCGGUACGGGCUCUGAGAGGAGAAGCCCGGAGAUGGGCACUGAGACAAGGGCCCAGGCCCUAUGGGGCGCAGCAGGCGCAGAAACCUCUGCAAUAGGCGAAAGCCUGACAGGGUUACUCUGAGUGAUUUCCGUUAAGGAGAUCUUUUGGCACCUCUAAAAAUGGUGCAGAAUAAGGGGUGGGCAAAGUCUGGUGUAUGCCGCCGCGGUAAUACCAGCACCCCGAGUGGUCGGGACGUUUAUUGGGCCUAAAGCAUCCGUAGCCGGUUCUACAAGUCUUCCGUUAAAUCCACCUGCUUAACAGAUGGGCUGCGGAAGAUACUAUAGAGCUAGGAGGCGGGAGAGGCAAGCGGUACUCGAUGGGUAGGGGUAAAAUCCGUUGAUCCAUUGAAGACCACCAGUGGCGAAGGCGGCUUGCCAGAACGCGCUCGACGGUGAGGGAUGAAAGCUGGGGGAGCAAACCGGAUUAGAUACCCGGGUAGCCCCAGCUGUAAACGAUGCAGACUCGGUGAUGAGUUGGCUUUAUGCCAACUCAGUGCCGCAGGGAAGCCGUUAAGUUUGCCGCCUGGGGAGUACGGUCGCAAGACUGAAACUUAAAGGAAUUGGCGGGGGAGCAC
rnacentral:rRNA from 1 species